rnacentral:rRNA from 1 species
CGCGUAGACGGUUUUGUAAGUCAGAUGUGAAAUCCCUGGGCUCAACCUGGGAACUGCAUUUGAAACUGCAUGGCUAGAGUAUGGUAGAGGGAAGUGGAAUUUCCGGUGUAGCGGUGAAAUGCGUAGAUAUCGGAAGGAGCACCAGUGGCGAAAGCGACUUCCUGGACCAAUACUGACGUUCAUGUGCGAAAGCGUGGGGAGCAAACAGGAUUAGAUACCCUGGUAGUCCACGCCAUAAACGAUGACAACUAGAUGUUGGGAGGGUCUGCCUCUCGGUGUCGCAGCUAACGCGUUAAGUUGUCCGCCUGGGGAGUACGGCCGCAAGGUUGAA